rnacentral:tRNA from 1 species
UCUAAUAUGGCAGAUAAGUGCAAUGGAUUUAAGCUCCAUAUAUAAAGGGUAUUCCUUUUGUUAGAA